UGGGGGAUAUUGCACAAUGGGCGAAAGCCUGAUGCAGCGACGCCGCGUGGGGGAUGAAGGCUUUCGGGUUGUAAACCUCUUUCGCUAUCGAACAAGGCCCGCUUAGGGUGGGUUGAGGGUAGGUGGAGAAGAAGCGCCGGCUAACUACGUGCCAGCAGCCGCGGUAAUACGUAGGGCGCGAGCGUUGUCCGGAAUUAUUGGGCGUAAGGGCUUGUAGGCGGCUUGUUGCGCCUGCUGUGAAAACGCGGGGCUUAACUUCGCGCGUGAAGUGGGUACGGGCAGGCUUGCGUGUGGUAGGUGUGACUGAAAUUCCAGGUGUAGCGGUGGAAUGCGCAGAUAUCUGGAGGAACACCGAUGGCGAAGGCAGGUCACUGGGCCAUUACUGACGCUGAGGAGCGAAAGCAUGGGUAGCGAACAGG
rnacentral:rRNA from 1 species